CGUGUUUGAGGGUCAAACAGCGGAGGAGGGACGGCCCCCAGGACCUCAGGAGCGCCCCCGGACACGGGUCACCCCAGUGUUCAGCCAAACCUUCCCUGUGUUCGGAUGAAGACUGGGGUUCCAAAUGUCCGUCCGGCUGCAGACUGCAGGGUUUGAUGUCUCAAUUGGAAAUGGACGUGGACAGGAAACUGCAGAGAGUUUGUGAAACGGCGAAGGCGUUGGAGGAGGCAGCUGAGAAGUCCAUGACGAGAAUGACGCAGGUCUACAACGCCCACCGCAGAGUCAUCGUCAGCAGAUACAUGUCUGAGCAGAAGUUUGCCGUUCGUGCCGACGUCCUGGCGGAGAAAAUGACGUCACUUCGGGAGAAAUCAAAGGUUCUGGAUGUAAAAAUAAAGGAGUUGAGAAGCAAGGUGAAGAAACAGGUGGAGGAGCUGUACCGAACGGAGGUGGACGUUGACAUGAUGUUGCGGGCGUGCGGUGGUUCCUGUACGUCCAGAACUCCGUUCGGCGUCGAUCAUCACAGCUACCUUCGCAGUGAGUCCACGUUGGAGGUUCUCCACCAGAGGAGCAGAACUCCUCCUCCACCCAGAGCUGUGAAGCAGAUCAAACUACAACCUCUAGAGAAAAGCCUGAAACCAUCCACGGACUACAAGUCCAUCCCGACGGUCCGGAAAGAAGCGCUGACCCAGUUUGAAGACGUCGACCUGAACCGGUUCUCUUUGGGGGAGGAGUCCGAGGGAUCCAACGAGGUGGAAUGAAGAUCUUAGGACGGGUUUAGAAGUCUGUGAACCACCAGAGCAGAUACUUUGUCUGCUGGUCCUUAAAAAAUGUCAUAUUAUUUAUGGAGCCACAACGUUUCAUUGACGCGAGGACUCUGGAGGUUCAUGUUCCUCCACGCUUUUAGGAGACUUCAGAAGCAACUGUUACAAACCAAAUUAAAAUGAUGUUCACAUCACCCUCAGAAAUGCGAGUUCAACACUUUUAACGACAAAUCUGGUUCAAUUUGGGUUUCUCUGUUCAAAUCUCUUGACGCCAUUGGACUUAAAUUGAAAGGUAGGGACUCCGAUUGAGAUUGACGCAUACGCAGCAUCUUUUUCAACUAACAAAACUACCAAUUAUUGUUUUUUCAUGGCCAAAACGCUGACAUCAAAUCUUUCUUGUAUCGGAGCAGAUCUGUAAAACAAACAGCCUGGAUUAAGAUACACUAGAUAAGUCUCCUCAGACUGUAGGUGGUUAGAAUCCCACACGCAAUCAGUCACGACGGUCCAGUGUGAAGACUAAAAGCACCUUCAAGAAUGAGCGUUUAGGGGAUUCUUGAACUUACGCACAUAACCAGUAUGAAUGUAGCUCAACAUUUUUAUUUUUAUCUAUAUUUAGGUAAGUUAACUGUUCUGAGCUGAGAUUUCUGCUCAUUUCUUAUGUUUAUUUAUGGUUUUUGUUGCUUAACCUUUUACCCUGCAGAUGUUGAUGUCAACAACAACAUAACACUCGAUCUUUGAACUAACAGAACUCUUAAACCGUUUCCGCGAUCACUUUAAUUCCAAUGGAUUCUGACAUAUGAGCUGCUAUUAUCUCCAGAAUACACUGGAAUUAGUUAAAAGAGUUAUUGUAGCUGAAUGAACAUCAACAUGAAAACUAAACUAUAUUCAUAUAAAUGAUCAAAUAUUAACUUUUGCACAAAAGAACUAAUAAUUUAUAAACUAGGAGUUAUUUUCGUGGGUGUUCUCCUACCCAGAAUUAAGAAGAUCUCUGAAGCUCUGCCUGUUGCUCCGCCCAUUUCAUGACGUCAUCCUUGAGUCGACCUCGGCAGCCUUUCUGCGUUUCUCCCACAAAAACGGAAAACUUUUGUAAAGACAGACGCAUGUCCCGCAGAUUUGCCUUUAGUAGCUCCAAUACACUCGUCCAAACCCGCUCCCUCUCCCGUCCUGUGUGCAGUCAGGUGAGUUCAUAGCUGCAGUCCCAGAUUAAAGCGUGAGGGUGCACCUCUCAACCCUCCCAUUGUACUCAUGUACAGUGUUUCUGUGUUCGUUGAACUGUUUGUGUGUGUUUCUGGUGGAAUGACACCAGUUUUGUUUGCCACAUGUCAACUGUUUCAGAUCUAAUGUGACAAAUUCUGUACAAAUAAAUUACAUCCGUUUUUCAUUAAAUGCAUUUUGAAUCAAUUGCUCAACACCAUUUUAUUUA
rnacentral:lncRNA from 1 species